rnacentral:rRNA from 1 species
UUCCGGUUGAUCCCGCCGGACCUGACUGCUAUCGGAUUGAUACUAAGCCAUGCUAGUCUUUGUAGUAAUACAAGGCAUACGGCUCAGUAACGCGUAGUCAACCUACCCUAUGGACGGGGAUAAUCUCGGGAAACUGAGCAUAAUACCCGGCAGACCACUUAUCCUGGAAUGGUUAGUGGUUAAAAUGAUUCGUCGCCAUAGGAUGGGACUGCGGCCUAUCAGCUUGUUGGUGAGGUAAUGGCCCACCAAGGCGAUUACAGGUACGGGCUCUGAGAGGAGAGGCCCGGAGAUGGGUACUGAGACAAGGACCCAGGCCCUAUGGGGCGCAGCAGGCGAGAAAACUUUGCAAUGUGCGAAAGCACGACAAGGUUAAUCCGAGUGAUUUCUGCUAAAGGAAUCUUUUGUUAGUUCUAAAAAUACUAGUGAAUAAGGGGUGGGCAAGUUCUGGUGUCAGCCGCCGCGGUAAAACCAGCACCUCAAGUGGUCAGGAGGAUUAUUGGGCCUAAAGCAUCCGUAGCCUGUUCUAUAAGUUUGCGGUUAAAUCUAUACGCUCAACGUAUAGGCUGCCGUAAAUACUGUAGAACUAGGGAGUGGGAGAGGUAGACGGUACUCGAUAGGAAGGGGUAAAAUCCUUUGAUCUAUUGAUGACCACCUGUGGCGAAGGCGGUCUACCAGAACACGUUCGACGGUGAGGGAUGAAAGCUGGGGGAGCAAACCGGAUUAGAUACCCGGGUAGUCCCAGCUGUAAACGAUGCAGACUCGAUGAUGCAAUGGCAUAGAGCUAUUGCAGUAUCGCAGGGAAGCCGUUAAGUUUGCCGCCUGGGAAGUACGUACGCAAGUAUGAAACUUAAAGGAAUUGGCGGGGGAGCACCACAAGGGGUGAAGCCUGCGGUUCAAUUGGAAUCAACGCCGGA